rnacentral:rRNA from 1 species
ACAGAGGGUGCAAACGUUGUUCGGAAUUACUGGGCGUAAAGCGCGUGUAGGCGGCUCAGCAAGUCGGAUGUGAAAGCCCUUGGCUCAACUGAGGAAGUGCAUUCGAAACUGCGGAGCUUGAGUCCCGGAGAGGAUGGUGGAAUUCUCGGUGUAGAGGUGAAAUUCGUAGAUAUCGAGAGGAACACCGGUGGCGAAGGCGGCCAUCUGGACGGUGACUGACGCUGAGACGCGAAAGCAUGGGGAGCAAACA